CCGCGCUCUGGCAGGAGAGGCGCUGGUCGCGCGCCUGGGAAGGAGGGCGACGGCUGCAGGGAGCGCGCCUGGGGAGGAGGGCGACGGCUGCAGGGAGCGCGCCUGGGGAGGAGGGCGACGGCUGCAGGGAGCGCGCCUGGGGAGGAGGGCGACGGCUGCAGGGAGCGCGCCUGGGAAGGAGGGCGACGGCUGCCGGGAGCGCGCCUGGGAAGGAGGGCGACGGCUGCAGGGAGCGCGCCUGGGAAGGAGGGCGACGGCUGCCGGGAGCGCGCCCGGGAAGGAGGGCGACGGCUGCAGGGAGCGCGCCCGGGAAGGAGGGCGACGGCUGCAGGGAGCGCGCCCGGGAAGGAGGGCGACGGCUGCCGGGAGCGCGCCCGGGAAGGAGGGCGGUGGCUGCGGCUCAGAGGGCCCGGCGACCGCCGAAGCGAUUUUGAAAUGACCUGGAGAAAAUUCAAGCCGCUCUGCCAGGAGAGCCUCAAGUCCUGCGUCUUAGGUUUCUACCAUCUGUGGAACAUGGAAUCAAACCAGAAUAUGUUGGCAUAACAGUCUAGUCAAACCGGUUCUUCUGUAGAUCCAGAACCCGUCCAACCAGUCUGCAUCAAAGAGAAGCCCAACAUGCUGGAGCGGCUCUGCUAAGCUUGUACAGGGUAAGUUAUCCCCACCUUCCGUCAACUCCCAACAAACUACUCAAAAUGUUGUAGCCUCCAGCAAAAUAAUU
rnacentral:lncRNA from 1 species